AGAAGUCAUCAUUUGGUCUCUAUUUCUUUUCUUUUUAAAACAGGAAACAGAGAACACUGCAUACAAAGUUGGAAAUGAGUCCCCUGUACAAGAAUUGAAACAAGAUGUGUCUAAAAAGGUUGGAAAGAUAUGUCAAUAUUAUUAUAUAGCAGACAUUAUAUUUACAUGGUAUAUUUAAAACAGAAAAUUUCCUACUUUUUUAGUGUAGUACACUAUUCAGAAAUUAUAUCUUGGAUCCAUUGAAUUUGUAAUUGAAGGCACACAGGACUUUUUGUAGGUCAUUUUUACAUUCUAACUAAUUGAUAAUUAUCCUUAAAACAGUAUUUUAUAGAACAUUUUUAUUUUUUCUUCUUAUACUUUAUUAGAAUAAUCUGUAGCUCCUCUUGAAAUUGCCACUGGGCAUUACAGAUAUUGAAAAACUCAGUGCAUCAAAUUCUGAUGUCUUUAGGAAUCAGUUCUUAUUCUGAUAAUAUCUUUGAUACUGUUUAAAGAAUCAGUGCUGUGAGGCUCCAGAAGCUGGUUUCUUAGAAGAGACAGAGCACAAGAUAAAUAUUUUUAGAAUGGACAGUUUUAAAUAUCAGGAUAAAACUCACAGAAAGACUGGAUGUGUGUGUUUACUCAUUUCUACAAGUUCUGAGUUUUUUCCCGUCUCCUAGGCACUGUUAUAGCAAGUGAGUUUUUGAAAGCCAACAAAAUGACACAUUUACUGUUUCUUUAGUUGUAGCUGUAUUAACUUUGGGGGCUGGAUAAUUCAUUGUGUUAGAGGGAAGGGGAAACUGUUGUAUAUAUUGUAGGAUUAUUCUACCUACUGGGAUGCCAGUAGCAUCCACACCCCUACCACCUAGUCAUGACAACCCAAAAUGUCUCCAAGAAUCACCAAAUAUGUGGGGAAAUGCAUAUGGUAAAAUCACCCCUAGUGUGGAUUGUUUUCCCCUUACAGAAUUUACAGAUUUAGUGGACACAUAGUUUAAUGUUGGUCAUACUUUUUCCUUUAAAAGAAAAAAUAAUCCCUUUUGGAAGAAGAUAAUCCAGCCACCUUACAAGUCCUGUGUUAAAAUAAUUAACAAUUAAACGAUGGUGUGCAUACAGGGCUUCUUUCUUUUGGAAGAAGUAGUAGUAUUGUGUACCAGCAUACAAAAUAGGGAUGUAGGGGCUGGGUUGUAGCUCAGUGGUAGCAUGCUUGCCUAGCAUGUGUGAAGUACCGUGUUCAAUUCUCAGCACAGUAUAUAAAUAAAUAAAAUAAAUGUCCAACAACUAAUAUUAAAAAAAAAACAGGGAUGUAACGAUUUUUUAAAGAAUUUUUCAUAGUUCUACACUGUAACAUAUCAGUUGUCAGGAUUCCCUUCUGGUUCUCAUGACUUGCAUAUUUUUAUAUACUUGAUUGUAGUGUAGAUAGAAUUUUAUAUUCUGUUUUACUCUUAUCAUUUUUUUAUUUUUCUCAUAUUUCUACCCCAUUUCAAUACUGAGUCUUUGCUUGAUGUAUCAGUUUCCAUCAAACAAAUUUAUUACAAUGUAUCCAGCCACUUUUGAAAUGAUUGUUGAAAUUGAAAUGUUUAUAUUUUUUGCUAUAGCUUUUCUUUUUUCCCUUUUUGAGAGUAUUUUCUUAGUUACCCAUUUGUAAUUUAUCCUAUCUAUAGUUAGUAGCCAAGAAAAAGGUGACUUUAUUGAGAAUUUAGGAGCUGAAAAAGUAGUGAGGGACUGGGGAUAUAGCUCAGUUGGUAGAGUGCUUGCCUCAUAUGCCCAAGGCCCAGGGUUCAAUCCCCAGCACCACCAAAAAAAAAAAAAAAAAAGUAUUGAGAAAACACCAUGAGACAGUAGAAUGAAGCUUAAGACUUGAGGUGUCACUUUUUAAGUUCUACACUUUUUAAUGAUAUGUAGAACAUUUAUGAUAAAGAUUAUGGGCUAUACCGUGGACCAAGACCCUGAGAAUAGCUUCCAGUUUUGUAGGGGAUAUUUGAUAAACAUAAAGCUAAAUGUAAUAAGCAUUCAAAUAAAUUUGCAAGCUAGUAUAAGAACUCAAAGAAGACUUUACUUCCUACUUGCUGAUAGGAAUGGAGAAGACUUCAUGGAGAAAGUAGUAUCUAAACUGGUUCUUAAUGAAUGGAUAAGAUUUAGGAAGGCAGAGAUGAGAGAGGAAAGACAUUACCAAAGGCAUGGAGAUGGGGAAUGUGAAGAAUGUUUGACUAUUAGUCUAGUUAGGGCCAGAUUAUGGUAAUGCCUUUUAUCAUACUAAGUAUCUGGGGUUUAUUUUAUAACCACUAGGAAAUCAGUGAGCUUUUUAUAGCAAAACACUGCUUUAUGUUGCUCUUGUUGCUUUGUGUUGGUCAUGGUUUUUCACUGUUCUCUCCUUUCCCUUUUCAUUACCUCCUACAAUCUAGGGUGAGGCAAUAUAUAUAUAUAUAUAUAUAGAGAGAGAGAGAGAGAGAGAGAGAGAGAGAGCCUGAAAACAUGGGCCUUACUCUCCAGUAACAAAUUAUGUAGUAUGGAGAAAAUGAAUAUGCAGAAUGCCCAUAUGCUCCCUGUAUUUGUAUUAUUGUUCAUACUGUAAUGACCAGCAAGAACAAUUAAAGUUUAGAAGAGAGGGAGAGAGAGAUUGUUCUCAGGGGGUUAGGGAAAACAUGAUUUUCAAGCUCCUUUUGACCCCUCUCUUAUGUCAAGUGCCUUUACGUUAUGUACAAUGAUUAUUUAUAAACCCAUAUACUCAUCUUGUACUCACUAUGCCCACUUGCAUGCCCCUCAGCAAAUAAUCUUGUUUCAUGUUACAUGUAGACAUGAGAGGCUAAGAAGCCUGAAUCCAUUUCUUCUAUCAUCUCUCUCUUCCCUCCCCAGCAAACUUGUUUUAAUCUCUUACCUCUUCUUUUUUUUUUUUUUCUCUUUGUUUGCGGGGCAGUGGGGGCAGUGCUGGGGAUUGAACCCAGGGCUUUGUGCAUGCGAGGCUAACACUCUACCAACUGAGCUAUAUCCCCAGCCAUCUUACCUCUUCUUAAUGUCGUUCAUCACUGAUCAUUUAGGUAUUUUUUAUUUGUUUUGUUUUCUAACACAGGGGAUUGAACCCAGGGCACUUAACCACUGAACCACAUCCCCAGCCCUUUUUAUUUUUUUAUUUCAAGACAGGGUCUUGCUGAGCCUGAUUUUGAACUUGUGAUCCUCCUUCCUCAGACUCCUAAGCCGCUGGGAUUACAGGCAUGCACCACCGCUCUAAGCCCAUUUAGUAUUUUUUUUUCCCCAUCCAGAGUAGUGUGGUAUAUUUUAAAGAACACUUGCUUUUUAAGAAAGACCUGGAUUUCAAUUUUUGUCUUUGUAGCUAGCUAGCUAUGGGACAUUGUACAAAAUUCUUCAUGCCUUUACCUCAGAUGCCUUCCUUUGUAGAGGGAAGAUAAUCCAGCCACCUUACAAGACCUGUGUUAAAAUAAUUAACAAUUAAAUGAUGGUGUGCAUACCGGGUAUAGUACACAGUAGGGCUUCUUUCUUCUCCAGAACUUUGUUCAGUUAUCUUAAUUUCAAGGCUCCUUCCCUUCAGUUUAUAAAAGUGCUAGGUCACUUUCUGGCAGUCUGUUCCAAUUAUAGCCAAGCCUUUUUCUUUUCCUUCCCUCCCUCCCUCCCUUCCUCCUCCUCCUCCUCCUCCUCCUCCUCCUCCUCCUUCUCCUUCUCCUUCUCCUCCUUUUUUUUUUUGUGUGUGUGCACGCACAUGCACACAUGUAGUGCUGGGGAUCAAAACCCAGGGCCUCAUGCAUCAAGCGUUUUGAGAAAAGAAACCAUACCAGCUGUCUAUGUCUUUACUUCUUGUUCAACCUGAGACCUGUUGUAGUCUGAGUUUUGUUAUCACUAAGGUCCUUACCGCCUAAUUGACAAAUGAGGUAGACCCUAGUUAAUAUUCCUCUGGCAAAAGUAGUGAGGGAAUUUCUAGAAUUAAAAAAUUGAAGAUUGAGGGAAAAAACUGAUAUAAGGAAUGUGUUGAUAUUAAAGAUGAAUAUUAUCAAGUAGUAGUAAUAUCCAAUUCAUUUAGCAUGACUGGUUAUGUUCAACCAGAUGAGGAUGGUUCUGUGACAUACUCCAUUUACUUGCUGGAUUCAAAGAAUUGAGAAAUCAAAAGUUAUUCAUGAUUGGGUGUGGUAGAAAAAUAGUGGGUUGGGAGAUUUAAUGUGUUAGUAAUCAUAAGACUGGGUAGAAAAUAUAUUUCUACUAAAUGUUGGUAGAAGACAAACUUUCUAUAUUUUUCAGCUACAGAUAAGAAUGUGGCAGGGUGAGGCAAGAUGGGAUGGGUGUUUGAAUUCUUUUCAUAGACCUGCCAUCAGUUUGAAUAGUGGAAUAUUGGGUAUAGUUUGUUUAAGAACUUUAAUCUCCUUGCAUCUGCUGGCUUUUCUAACAUAGGCUCAAGUUUAGACCUAAAUAAGUUGAAUUCUUGUCCUGGGUGGGUUUUUAUUUUCAUGGUUUUGUUAAAAAAAAAAAACUCAAACCCAGCAGGCAGUUAUUGCAACUAAUUUGACACAACUCUAUAAAUAAACUAUGACCUUAUGAGUCUUAAUAUAAGUUUAGGCUUGAUUUUAUUUUACAGGUUUGAUUGAACUUUUGUUACUAUAUGCUAACACAGAUUCUCUGUUAUAACGUUAAAGAGUGUAGAUUCUAGAACCCAAAUACCUGGGUUUACACCAGCUUCAUCACUUAUUAGCUCUGACCUUGGGCAAAUCACUUGAUCCCCAUAUGCCUUAGUUCCCUCAUUUGUACAUUGAUCACAAUAGGAACAUAAUCUCAUAAGGUUGUUGUAAAGAUUGAAAUUUAUAAAGUGAUAAGAACAUUGCCUGAUACGAACUAAGUACUAUAUAAAUUAUUAGCUAUUAAUAUGUUUUUAUAAAUAGCUUCAUAUUUAAAAAAAUGCUUUUUAACCUUUCAUUAGAUAAUUGAAAGUAUUAUUGAGGAAAGUCAGAAAGUACAUCUUGAAGAUGACUCUUUGGAUUCCAAUGGAAAAGGACUCUCUGAUCAGGCUACUGCCAGUCCUGUUGUAUCUGGAACAGAUCUUAGUAAUGUACCUGGACUGUUAGGCAUAGAUCAAGUACUACAGGAAGAUUCCACAAAGGCAGAGAGUCAGAGUGCAUUUGAGGAAACUGAAUUAGAAUCAAAACAAUGUUUUCCAUCUGAUGAUACCUGUGAGAAGUCAGUAGACGAAACCAUAAAAUUAAAUGAAAUAAGUUCAACUGAGCAACAGAAUGUGCCUGAAAUGGAAAUAGAAGUAUUGAACAAGGAAGCAAUGGAAGUAAAACAAAGUGAUGUUGUAGAUCCUGCAUCCUCAAACUCUUCAUCUACUAAAGAUUUUGCUGCUGUGGAAGAAGUGGCUCCCGCCAAACCCCCAAGGCACCUUACUCCAGAACCUGAUAUAGUAGCUAGUACAAAGAAGCCUGUUCCAGCACGCCCACCCCCUCCAACUAAUUUCCCACCUCCUAGACCCCCACCUCCAUCUCGACCUGCUCCACCACCAAGAAAAAAGAAAAGUGAAUUGGAAUUUGAGGCUCUAAAAACACCGGAUCUAGAUGGCAAGUAUUAAUUGAAAAGUAACUGUUUUAAUGGGGAGAAUUGGGAGUUGAAACUGUUUUGUUUAACUUUCUGCUUUUGCUUCAGUUCAUGAUUUUUAAAACCAGUAAAACCACACUAAUGACCACAUUAUAAAAAUUAUUUAUUUAUUACUAGAUAAAAAAUUUUCAUUGGUGAUGUUACUAUUAUUGAACAUUUCAUCUAACCUCAAACUUUCACAUCUAUUACCAGCUGAGAAAUAAUGUGUCAUGGUGAAGUGAACAUGGGAUAUAGAAACUUAAGGUCUAAAUUUGAAUACUUCACUCCUUACUGUAUGAACUGAAUAAUCUUGAGGAAGUUAAAUAACUUGGUUGAACCAUGGUUUCUUCAUAUAAAAAAUGAGAGUAAUAAAACAACUUUCCUCAUAAGCUUGUUUUAGGAACCAAAUAAGUGCCGGGCGCAGUGGCACAUGCCUGUAAUCCCAGUGGCUUGGGAGGUUGAGGCAGGAGGAUCGAAAGUUCAAAGCCAGCCUCAGCAACUUAGUGAGGCCCUAAGCAACUUAGUGAGACUGCGUCUCAAAAUAAAAAUUAAAAAGGUCUGGGGAUGUGGCUCAGUGGUUAAGCACCCCAGGGUUCAUUUCUCAGUACUAAAAAAAAAAAAAAAAAGAAUCAAAUAAAAGUUAAAGCACUUUUAAGAUAUGUUUAAGGGCCUAUAUAAAUGUUAGUUGUUAUUAUUUUUAUCGUUGCAGUACCCAAAGAGAAUAUUACGUCUGAUUCUCUCCUAACUACAACAAUGACUUCAGAAAGUACAGUCAGGGAUUCUCAGCCUUCUCUUGAUUUGGCAAGUGCUACCAGUGGAGAUAAAAUAGUUACUGCCCAGGUUGGUGAAUUAGUGUUAUAUUUGAUAUAGGCAUUAUCAGACUUUCUGCAAUUGGAUAAUUUGUUAAUUGUUAAACCCUCUUUCUCCUCCAAGCCAAAUAAUUUCUUGUCCCCCAAACCUAGCCCCCUUAUUUCCCUUAUGUAGCUCUGUUACUAACUAGCUGGGUGAGCCUAGUAAGUUAUUUGGCAUCUGAGUCUCAGAUGCCCCAUUGAUAAAAUAGAAAAAAAAAGUAAAUGAAGUAUGGCAGGUAGUAGGUAUUCAAAACAUGACAGAUGCUUAUUAUUGAUUAAAACUAUACUCUUCAUUUACCUAAAUAAUAUUGAUCAAAAUCAGUGGACUUUUAUAAUUUCCUAAUCAUAAAAAUCUUUUGUACUGGGCAAUGGGCUAUACAAAAGACUAAAUAACAUGAAUUUUGCCACAGCCAAAUUCUGAGACUCAAGGUUACCUGUGUUUUAGUGGAGGCGGGGCAGGGUAGCAGACUGAGAGGUCUAACACUGUAGUCUUGUUAAAACCUUAAAGCAGAGGUCAGCAGCAGAUUGUUUUGUAGGCUAAACAUGAUCAUUACAGUUUUUUUUUUCUUUUAAGCCAAAAAUGGUCUUUACAUUUUUAAAGAGUUGUUAGAGAAACUGUAUGUGAACGAAAAGUCUUAAAAUAUUUACUAUCUUAUCUUGACAGAAAAAAGUUUUCUAACUCCUGCCUUGAAGUUAUCCACAUAUAGCCUGAUUAGUAGCAAUUUUAGUAGAGAGCUGCUUUUGGGUCAGAUUCAAAUAGAACAUUUACUCAUUUUAAGACAAGUAAAUUAACAAAUAAAUAUAUUUUUAUAUCAUGGGCAGCAAUAGUUUUGGUAUCUAAUGUUUUUCAUCAUUCAGGGAACAAUAAAGGACUGAAAUGGAGUAUACCAUUUAAAGUUUCAGUAGACUCCAAUGACUGGAUUAUAGAAUUCUUUAGAACUAUGUAUAAUAAUGAAUAAUUGAAUUUAUAGAUACUGACUCAGUCUACUUUCUGUUUAUAAAAUUAUAAUUUCAGGAAAAUGGAAAAGCACCUGAUGGGCAGACAAUAGCAGGUGAAGUGAUGGGCCCUCAGAGACCUAGAUCCAACUCUGGGAGAGAGCUUACUGAUGAGGUAGAAUUCGGUUGUCUUUUUUUCCCCAUUAAGAAUAUAAAAUAUAAAAAUCAUAACAAGAAAAUAAGAACAUUCUGUAAAUGGAUGAUCCUGAUAGUUGCCCACCAGUAUGAAUGUACUUCAUGUUAUUAUAGGUCACCACAGUUAGACUUUUUUUAUUGACAUUUAACAUUUGUACAUAUUUAUGAGAUACAGUAUGAUUUAAUACAUGUUUAUAAUGUGUACAUGUACCAGAGUGGUUAGCAUUUUCAUCCUUUCAGACAUUUAUCAUUUCUGCAUUGAAAACCUUUGGACUCUUCUAGUUAUUUUAAAAUAUAGAAUAAAUGACUGGGGCUGGGGUUGUGGCUCAACGUUAGAGUGUUCACCUAGCAUAUGCGAGGCACUGGGUUCAAUCCACAGUACAAGUAAAAAAUAAAUAAAUAAAAUGAAGGGAUAUGUCCAACUACAACUAAAAUACAUUUUAAAAAAAGAAUAAAUGACUGUUAGUCCAUAAAGUUAUAUUGAAAAACAAUGAAAAUUGAAGAUUAUCUUAAUUUUUUUUGGUGUGCUGUAUCUUGCAUUCCCUGACUGAAACUUGAUCUUUUAAGCAGUUAAAUAGUAGAAUAAACAUGUUCAAAGUAGGAUCUAUAUUUUAUAAAAAGCAAGUUUAUAGAUACAUGUUUUUAUACAAACAUAAAGUGGUUUUUAUCAUUUGAAUGGUUUUUACCAUUAAAACUUUGUAUACAUCUAUUGCCCAAUUUAUUCAACAGUCUUGAAGCAAAAUAUUUUUUAGAACAACACAUUUUUUUUAAAUUAUGAUACUUUGGAAAAUAGUUUAGCAGUUCCUUAAAAUGUUAAACAUGAUGUUGCCAUGACCCAGUAAUUCCAUUCCUAUGCAUAUACCUAAGCAAAAGUAAAAUAUGUCCACACAAAAAUAUACACAGAUGUACAUAGCAGCAUUGUUCAUAAUUGAAAAAAAAAAAUAGAAAGAACCCAAAUGUACAUCACUAAUGAGUGGAUAAUGAAAUACAUUAUAUCCAUACAAUGGUGUGUUUUUUAAUAAUUAAAAGGAAUGAAAUGCUGAUACAUGCUACAUUGGUGGACCUUGUAAACAGCCUGCUAAAUAAAAGAAUCCAGCCACAAAAGGCUACAUAUCAUAUAAUUGGAUUUAUAUGAAAUGUCUGGAAUGGGUAAAUCCACGAGACAAAAUCUAGAUCAGUAAUUUCCAAGGGCAGGAAAGAAAGGGAAAUGAGGUAUGACUGCUAAUGACUUCUUUUGGGGUGAUGAAAAUAUUCUAGCUUAGUGGCAAUGGUAGCACAACUCUGUGAACAUUGUUUUUUUUUUCUUUUUUGUGCUGGGGAUUGAACACAGGAGCACUCUUAUCACUGAACUGCAUCCUUAGCCUUUUCAUUUUUUAUUUUGAGACAAGGUCUCACCAAGUUGCCUUGGGCAGCCUCAAACUUUUUAGUCCUCCUGCCUUAGCCUCCUGUGUAGCUGGGAUUACAGGCAUGUGCCACCACAUCCAACUAACUCUGUGAAUAUUCUAUAAGCCAUUGAAUUAUAUGCUUUAAAGGAGUGUAUUUUGUGGUAUGUGAAUUAUAUAUUAAUAAAAAUGUUUUAAAAUUAUUGUGCAUAGUAUUGAAUGUAUCCAGAAAGUUCUUAAAUUUUUGAGGACUUUAUAGAUUCAAAAAGAUAAUUAAAUUGUAGGUCAUCUUGGUGUUAUUUUAACCUCAGGAAAUUUUAGCCAGUGUAAUGAUUAAGAACCUAGAUACUGGAGAAGAAAUACCUUUAAGUCUUGCUGAAGAGAAGCUGCCAACAGGUAUUAAUCCUCUCACUCUACACAUCAUGAGAAGGACAAAAGAAUAUGUAAGGUAUGACCUAAUGUUGUUAUUUAUCAUUUAUAAUAUUCAGAGUAGUGAAGAAUUCUUGAACCAUGACAGGCCUUAAUUUGGUUUCAUUCAGUGUUCUUUAUUUAAAUAUAUUAUUAUAUAUAUUCCUUAACUUUGUUCUUUUUUUAUGACUAUAUAGUUACUUGGAGAAAAUAGUGUAAAUCUUAAAUUGCAUAGUUUUUAGUUUCUCUUAAGAUAACUUAUACUAGAGACAAUACAAAAACAUUGAGGCUUAAAGGCUAUAUGGGAUAAAUACUUGGUCUUCUGAAACCUUGCUUUAAGGAUGAUAAAUUUUAUAAUAUUUUAUUGUUUUGGUAGGGCUGGGAAAUAUCUUUAGAGUGAGGCGAUUGACUUUACUAUAUAAUAUAUGUAGAUCUUAGGAACAAUUUCUAGAAAAGCAAGAACUUUUUAUUAAAUAUAAUAUAUGAUGUACCUGUAGAGUUGGAAGGAAUAUAUCCACAAGUUAUUUUUAACACUUCUGUGCAGUGCCCAGUUAAAAAAAACUUAUUUAUAAUAAGUUUCUUAGAAGUUACUAAAUGGCAUUCAGUUUUUAUUCUGAUAGCUGAUUAUAUAGUAAGUAUAAAGAGAUUUUUGAGAAAUGAAAGAGAAGUGGUUUCUUUUACAAUGACUUCUCCUUCUUGUAGUAAUGAUGCAGCACAGUCAGAUGAUGAAGAAAAGUUACAAUCUCAGCCAACAGAUACUGAUGGUGGAAGGUUAAAACAGAAAACGUGAGUUAAAAGUAUAACCCUUUUCUUUAUUUCAAGCAUUUAUUAGAAAAAAAAUAUGAGAACUGCUAUAUUCUUUUAAAUCUACAUUUUAUCCAGCUUAGUAUGUCCACCUACCACCACUACUCCCUGCUCCCAGCUAAUUGAUUAUGAUGAGUUCCUUAAGGUUGUAGUGGUCAGUUUUAAAGUACCUGACGUAGAUAAAAUGACCAAUAAGUUUUGUAUCAUCCCUGUAUUAUUUUUCUGGUGGUAAGUACCAGAAGUAUUAGAAGAAAAACAUGAUUGUCCUUGAAUUUGUCUUUCCCCAUUCUCUUAAUCUCUUUAAAUCCUAUUAAUCUUUCUAAAUCCAACUUUGUGAGAUUUUUCCUUGCUGCUCCAGUUCAUAGUAAAUAUCUUUUUUCUCAAUUUCAGUAAUACCUAGAAUUCAUAUAACUUACUUUUCCCUUUUAUCAUAUAUUAUCUUAAACUCUUUUCUGAUUUAAAAAGCAAAACAAGUACAUGUUAAACAACUAAGCCAUAUAUUGCAAAAAGAUUGUGUUCAUACCAUCGUGUUGAGAUGUCUCGCACAGUAGUGGGCAUAUGGAUUGUGCUUGACUACACAGGUCCUUUAAUUGGCAAUAAUUUGAUUUAAAGUCCAAAGUUAAUUCUCUACCUAAGUCUAAUUUUUUUCUAGUGUAUAACAAAGAAAACAUUAAGAAUUUUUUAAAAAGAUGUACUUAAAAGGUAGAUAUAUAGUGUCACCUCAGAUAUCUGAUACUUGGCUGUCUAGCAAUGGCAGCUAUCAGGAACCUAAGAAUUAGGAAUUUUCAGGAGACAGAUAAACAUCCAAGAAAAUAUUGUGUAGUCCAUGCACUAAAGCUUGUUUUUCUGAGAGAAAAGCUCCUCAGGUUUAUUCAAAGCAAUUAUACUAUGUUUCAUAAAUCAUUUUUUAAAAUCUGUUCAUUUAGUGUUCAAUGAGCUCACAGCAAAACAGAAGCAAUAAAACUGUGACAACAUGUAAGUUGACACAUAAGAAUAUCAGGUAAUCUGAUUGUAAGGCCAUGAUAAGAAAAUUUAUAAAAGAACUCAUACAUAGCACAACUGUCCUUAGAGCAGUACUUUUCAACAUUUCCUCAUGCCACGACACACAUAAAUUUAUUAAUAUUUGCACUAAAUACUGGUUAAAACUGAUGAGGCAGCUGAUGGCCAGAAGAGAUUGGCCCAGAGUUCUGGCUUCCCUUGACCAUGUUCAUUGGCUUUGAAGUCCAAAGGGAAACCAAUAGUAUGGCCAGACUGCAACCUGUUGGAAAGGCUCUAUGUGUAUUAAAGAACAGUAAAAAUGGUAACAGUGGGACUACACAUCAAGGAAGGAGCCAGGAGAGGUGGCACACACCUGUAAUCCCAGUGGCUUGGAGGCUGAAGCAGGAGGAUCAUGAGUUCAAAGACAGUCUCAACAACUUAGUGAGACCCUGAUUCAAAAUAAAAUAUUUUGGGGAUGUAACUCAGUGUUUAAGUGCCCCUGGGUUCAAUUCCAGGUACCAAGAAAAAGAGAGAAAGAGAGAGAAAGAAAACUUAAUUGAACAUUACAUGCCAUUUUAAGAAUGCAUGAAAUUUUAUGUUUUAGAAAUAUUCUUAUCUGAAAUGGUUAAAAUGUUUUCUUGUCUUUUAAAGUAGUAAACCUAUUGUCGUCCAGAGAAUAUAACUUUAGGGUUAGAGGUAGUGGAGACUUUAUAUUGGUUUUAGAAGUGGUUUGUCUUCUGUUUUGUCUGGUUAUCAAAAGUAAUAAUAGAAAUGCAUAAAAUAGAAAAUGAAAGUUUCUUAUAAUCUCACCCCCAGAAAUAAUCAAUGCAAUAGUUUAGUGUAUUCUCCACAGAAUUUUUUUUCUCACAAUGUUGCUAUUUAUAUUGUGCUUAAUAGUUAACUUGUUUUUUUUUAAAUCUAAUACAUUAUAAAUAUCUCUUUAUAUCGGUACCAGUAAUAAACAUAUGCAGUCUUUCUAUGAGCCAGGCCUAGGAGUUAAGUGCUGGGUAUACAUCAGUUAAGACAGUCUCCAUUCUCAUAAAAUUUCAAGUUAAAUGGAAGAGACAGAUGUAAACAUGAAAUUACACAGAUAAAUCCAACUAGGUAUGUACUAAUGGUUAGAAAACUGAGGCUGGGGGGAAUGCCAUGGGAGUAUGUAAUAGGAAAACUGGUCCUAAAGUCAAGGAAGGUCUUUUUGAGAGAGAAUUAUUUGAUCUGAGGCCUAAAAGGUGAAUAGGAAUUAUCCAGGAGAAGACUCUUCUAGGUUGAAACAACCACAAGUACAGAGGUUUUGAAGUGACUGGGAGCUUGGAACAUUUAAUGAACUGAGGUUUGGGCACUGGGCAAGGGGGUACAUGCCUGUAAUCACAGCAGCUCAGGAGGCUUAGGCAGGAGGAUCACAAGUCCAAAGCCAGCCUCAGCAACUUGCUGAGACCAUGUCUCAAAAUUUAAAAAAAUAAAAAUUAAAUGGUUUGGGGAUGUGGCUCAAUGAGUCAUUAAGCACCCCUGGGUUCAAUCCCUGGUACCAAAAAAAGAAGAAAGAACUAAGGUUUGCCUCAUUCAUUUAUUAUAUUCCAUACCAGCACUUAUAUUCAUUCCCCUGUUGAUUAAAAUGUAUUUCUGUAUCUUACUUAUUCUAAAAACCGUGACAGUAAACAUCUUUUUUUUAAACCAGUAACAUAUAGGCAUUUAUUAUCAUUAUUAAGUCUUAUGUACUAUACAUAAUUGUAUAUUCUGUACUUCAUUUCCCACAUUUUUAUUGGUGCAGUUAUAAUUGUAUAUAAUGGUUGAAUUUGUAGUUGCAUAAUUGUACAUGUACAUAAUAUAACAAUAUAGUUUGACCAAUAUCAUUCCCCAGUAUUCCCCUCCUCCCUACUGCCUCCCCUGCUCCCUUUCCUCUAUUCUACUCAUCUUCCUUUGUUUUUCAUAAGAUUGAACAUCGUGUGUGUGUGUGUGUGUGUAUGUGUAUUUGUGCAUGAGUUAUCAACUCUUUUUAUUUUUUUUAAAUUUAAUACAUUAUAGUGGUAUAUAAUAAUAGGGUUCAUUUUGACAUAUUCGUAAAUGCAUGUUACAUAGUUUUUUCUAUUUUAAUCUCUAGUACUACUCCUCCCACCCCCACUCCCUUAUCCCCUUCCUAUACUCUCUUGGACUUCCUUCUAUUUACUUUUUUUUGGUUCCAGGGAUUGAAUGCAAGGGCACUCAAACACUGAGCCACAUACCCAGUCCUAUUUAUUUAUUGAUUGAUUGACUGAUUUUGAGACAGGUUCUCACUAAGUUGCUUAGGGCCUCUCUAAACUGCUGAGGCUAACUUUGAAUUUGUGAUCCUCCUCCUGACCUCCUGGGAUUACAGGUGUGCACCACCACAACUGGCUUACUCAUUUAUUUUUAAUUGAUACAUUAUAGUUAUAUAUAAACUUGGGAUGCAUUGUGGUAUAUGCAUAUGAAUAUAGCAUAAGUUGGUCAAUUUCAUUUCCCAGUUCUUCCCCUUUCCCUUCCCUCCUUCCUUCCCCUGGUUCUGCCCUUUCUAAUGUACUGAUCUCCCUUCUGUUUGUUGUUGUUGUUUGCUUGUUUGUUUGUUUGGGGUACCAGGGAUUGAACUCAGGGUCACUCGACCACUGAGCCACAUCCCCAGCCCUAUUUUGUAUUUUAUUUAGAGACAGAGUCUCACUGAGUUGCUUAGCACCUCACCAUUGCUAAGACUGGCUCUGAACUUCCAAUCCCCCUGUUUUAGCCUCCUGAGCCUCUGGGAUUACAGGCGUGCACCACCAUGCUCAACUUUUUGUUCAUUUUGUUUUUUUGUUUUGUUUGUUUGUGGUGCUGGCUAUUAAAACCCAGGGCCUUGUGCAUGAAAGGCAAGCACUCUACCAACUGAGAUAUAUCCCCAGCCCUUCCUUCUGAUUUUGUAAGGCACCUUUUUUCCCCUUUUUUCUCUUUAGUUUCCUCAAAAAUUUAGCUAUUUUUAAAAAUAGUAUCAUUAAUAUCAUACAUUUCCAUGGAUUAGUAAAAAUUACCCUUGAUUUGUAAAUUAUUUUGCUUUAAAUAUUAUGUAGUGUGAUUUGCUUCUUAAUACAUGAAAUUUGAAACUUAGACUAUGGAAAAAGAAAUAGUUAUAUCCUCUUUGAAGAAGCUUAAAAUAAAUACUUGUGUUAACAUUGUGUUUUAGAGUACCUACCAGGAAAGUUUAGUCUAAUUUUAUAUGCACAUACCUAGACUGAAAGAGAAUGAGCAAAGGACCACCUUAGGCUACUAAAGCAUUCUAUUUUAUAAGUAAAUACCUCUUUACCCUUUCUUUUUAUUGGUAAAAUAUGUUUAAAAGGACUACUUUCUAAGCAGUCUUCUCAAAGUGAUUCUCUCUACAUCUUCAUGGCUUCACCCCAGACUCCAGAUCACAUUAUCUGUGUGUGGGGCAUGAGUACCUGGAUUUUAAAUAUUCCCUUCCCCACCCAACACCUGCUAAUCAAUUAUUCACCAUAGAAAGCUGAUACCCUUGAAUAUAUGAUACUAUAAAUUAGGCAAAACUGCCUAUAUUUCCUUGGUAGUAUAUUGACUAGAAUAUGUUUAUUCCAAGGAACAUGAAAACUCAAACACCUACUAUUUAUGUGAAAAAUUCAUUUCAAAGUAAUGUAUCAGUCACAGUUAAUGUGUUUAUCUGUGAAUUGUUAACCUUUAACAAUUAGUUGAGUUAAUAAAUAUAUUUUAUAUUUUUGUUAAGGACUCAACUAAAGAAGUUCCUUGGAAAAUCAGUAAAGAGAGCAAAGCAUCUUGCUGAGGAAUAUGGUGAACGUGCUAUAAAUAAAGUUAAAAGUGUAAGAGAUGAAGGUAAAUAAUACAAGAUAUUUCAAUUGAGUGUUCAUUAAAUUGGUAAUCAUCUCAUCUUAGCCUAUAGUUUAUAAGGAACACUAUUUUAUUGAAUGUAUUAAACCUUUAUUGCUAAUAUCUUAGUUGUGUUUCAGUAAAUUAUGAGUUACUAUAUCACUUAAUUUUUUAUAAGUGCAAAGGUAAAUGCAUUUAUAUAAUUAUUAUGUCUACAUUUGGUGAUUAUGACAACCUGGAAAGGUUGAUUAUUCAGUAAUCAGUUGUAACUUAAUUUUGUAAGGUUAUUUAGUUUUUAUAAAUAUUUUCAAAAUUUAUUACAUUUUCUAAAUUUGCACAGAUCUUAACUUCUGUGCCUUUGCCAUUAUUACUUCAUUUUUAAUUUAAUAAACACUUAUAUUGUAAUUAUUCUGUGCCAGUUUCUAAGCACUUUCAUUUGUGUUCAUCCAUUUAAUACCAUAAAAAACCCUAUGAGAUAAAUACCAUCAUUAUUCCCAUUUCAUAGUUGAAAGAAGUGAGAGGCAUAGAAAGUUCACAUAGACAAUAAAACAGAAUUGGAUUUGAACCCAGAUAACCUGGAACUAAGAUUUCAUGUUCUUCACCAAUGUUAUGUAGGAAUAGCUAAAUUUUUUUCUCUAUUUAAUGAAUUUUCUUGAUAAGCAGUAGAUAUGAAAGUAGCUAUAUGUAUAUUAGCUAGUAAUGGCUUCUGUUGCUUUUCUCUUCAGUGUUUCAUACUGAUCAAGAUGAUCCUUCAUCAAGUGAUGAUGAAGGGAUGCCAUAUACAAGACCAGUUAAAUUCAAAGCGGCACAUGGUUUCAAAGGACCUUAUGAUUUUGAUCAGAUCAAAGUGGUACAAGAUCUUAGUGGAGAACAUAUGGUAACCAACCUUUUCAUUUUUCAGGAUUGAUACUGUUUUUGUUAAGAGAAAUACUUUGGCUUUAUAAAAUUGAUCUCUAGUUAUUAAUAUGCAUGCACACACAUAUGUACUUUUGCUAGCCUGACUCAAGAAAAGUACAUUUAUAUUAGUGUAAUUUAAUGAAUAAGUGAUACAGAGUCUAUCUCUUAAUUACAGGUUGAGAGGUAUUGAAUAUGUAAACUCUAAGCUUCUAUCCUUAAUAAAACUAUGCCAAGGUAUCAAACUUUAAAGCAGUUAAAUUAGAGUAUGAUCUGUCUCUAUGAAAAAUUUAAGAUAUUUCCCAAUAUAUUUUAAAUAAUUUUAAUAAAUAUUUCAGAAGCCCAAUAUAUAUUUUAAAAUGAGACACUCAGUUAAAACAAGGAAGAAAGUAGAAGUUUAUAUUCCAUCAGAAUUCAAGUAUAUCAACAAAGAUCAAAGUACACCAAUAGCAUUACAGUUAUCUUUGAAAAUCUAGGAACACAAAGAACACAGCGAUAGAGCUCAGAGAUGGAUAAGUGAUGCUGUGUUCUUGAUCAGGGAAUCUAUUUAGAAUUUAAAUCUAAAAGUUGGCUUAACUAGAAGGAAGCAACCAUAAACAACAGAUGGCAGCCAGAUUGGAACUUAAAUUUAGGUGCUUAUAAUCUGCACAUAAAAUGUUGGAGUUGAUUAAAGUACCUAACCUGAUGAAUUUUCUUGUACUAUUUUGACUUCCUUGUUAUUUGCCAUUUUAAAUAAAAUCCCAUUGUAGUAGACUCCAAAUGACAAGUGUUUAUUGCUCUUGAACUUCAUAGAAAUGAAUGUUAUUGCAGUAAAUGAGCUUUUGCUUCUAACUUGGGUAGUCUUUUUGAUACAUCUAGAUGGGCAUUAUAGAAUUGUUGUCAUAGUAUUUGCCUCUUCCAAUUUAAGGAUUCAUAUUCUUUAGCCCACCCCACCCCCAUAUGUUACAGAACCUUGUUUCUAGGGAAAAAAAUCAGGAUGAGACCACACUAUUCCAAUAUUUCUUCUUAAGUACCCAAUGCCAUGAGAUUCGUGGCCAAGUGAGCUUUAUUUUUCCUCAGCCCUGGUUAGGGAGGCUGUUUGGAAGAGAGAGCUCUCUCUUCCCACUUCAUGUUCAGCUAGGCGACAAAGAUCCCAAACUAGGGCUUGUACUUUCUAAGAUAUCUGGCUACCUCAGAAUGCUUAUUUUCAUUAAUAUGUGGAUAGAGUUUGGGGUACUGAACUUGUAAAUUAUGGGAAACUACAACUAUCUUAUCCCACCUUUUCUCUGAAGGUCUCCCUUUGUGGUAUUAUAGCACCAUUGGACUUUUGACUGUGAAGGUCAUUAUUAAUGUGAGCAUUAUCUUUCAUAAAAAAAUAUUUUUACUUGGGGCUGGGGUUGUGGCUCAGCGGUAGAGUGCUCACCUAGCACAUGUGAGACACUGGGUUCGAUCCUCAGCAUCACAUAAAAAGUAAAUUAAUUAAAUAAAGGUAUUGUGUCCAAUUUUAGUUGUAGAUGAACACAAUACCUUUUUAUUUGUUUGUUUGUUUAUGUGGUGUUGAGGAUUGCACCCAAUGCUUCACACGUGCUAGGCAAGCUCUCUACCACAGCCCCAGCCCAUGAACAUUAUCUAAGAUAUGUAUAAUUUGGCAUCAUUUUAAACUUUGACUUAAAGUUGCAUCUCUAAACUUUCAAAAUAACAACCUGAAACUUCUUUUGUUUUCACAGGGAGCUGUUUGGACCAUGAAAUUUUCUCACUGUGGCCGGUUACUUGCCUCAGCUGGACAAGACAAUGUAGUGAGAAUAUGGGCUUUAAAAAAUGCUUUUGAUUAUUUCAACAAUAUGCGAAUGAAAUACAAUACUGAAGGUAUCUUUCAUUUAUUUAAAAAUCUACAGAAAUCUGGAAUUUUUACAUUUUAGGUACAGUACAGAUUAAGCAUAUUGAGCAUCCCUAAUCCCAAACUCCAAAAUCCAGAAUGCUCUCUACACUUGUUGAACACUGGCAUCAUGCUCAACAAAUUUUUAAUUUUAGAGCAUUUCAGGUUUCAGAUUUUUAGAUUGGGGAUGCUAAACUGAUAAAGUAUAUGCAGAUAUUCCACAAUCUGAAGAACUCCAGAAUCUGAUAAGGGAUAUGCAGUCUACAAUGCCCUCCUUAUCUGUCUGUCAUUUGGUUACUUAAAAAUAAGACAGAAGUCAGCAGCUAAAAGCCUCUAAAGCCAAAUGAAAAGAACUAUCACAAAGCUUUUGAUUUAUUCCUUGUCAAGCAUCAACCAUUGAGAACAAAGCUAUUUGAUUCCCCAUGGCAACCUUCAAAUUUAUCCUAGGUUUAAGGAAGAAAAGAUCUCAUUAAACUGUAAAAAGAAUGAAAGUAGUAUGUACACCUUAAAGAAUGUAAAGAAUGAUUAAGGAAAUAGCCAUGAAAAUUAGGCCCAAAUUGUCAAUAUAUCAAGGAGUAUAUGAAAAAAUGUGAAGUGGAAAAGAAAACCCUCAGAAUAUUAGGUAUACAAACACCUAUGUUUAUAUAUAGAUAGAUAGCUACUCACCUAUGUAAAAAUGUUUGUCUUGCGGUAAGUUAUCAGGAAAUGUAAAAUUGAUGUAAAUAGGGGCUUUUCAUUUAUAGGAUUCUUUUCUUAUUAUUUAGCAGCAUAAUACAUUUUCUCCAUAAACCUCUCCCUCUCAGUCACCUAAGGCUGAAAACAAGAAGUUAAGAAUAGGAAAAGGAGAAUAGAGGUAGCCAUUGAU
rnacentral:lncRNA from 1 species